rnacentral:rRNA from 1 species
CCAGCAGCCGCGGUAAUUCCAGCUCCGGUAGCGUGUAUUAAAGUUGUUGCAGUUAAAAAGCUCGUAGUUGAAGUAUUGGUAGGACGGACCAGGCUUUUCGGCGAAUGCUGAAGAUUGCUUUUGUGUUUGAUCUGGCCAUGGUUGCUCGUUUGCGCCUUUGGGCGUGGGUGGGCAUCAUUUACUGUAAAAAAAUUAGAGUGUUUCAAGCAAAUCGUAUGGUUGGAAUAGAGUAGUAUGGAAUAAUAAGAUAGGACUUUGUUGCUAUUUUGUUGGUUUGCACAUCAAAGUAAUGAUUAACAGGGACAGUUGGGGGUAUUCGUAUUUGGUUGUCAGAGGUGAAAUUCUUGGAUUUACAAAAGACGA